GCUUACGUCCAUCUCACGUUGAAAGCAUCGGUUCUCGUCCGAUCACCAAAGUUAAAAAACGUCGAGCCUAAUCAGUACUUAGAUGGGUUACUUCUUGGGAAACCUAGGUGCCGUAAGCA
rnacentral:rRNA from 1 species